UCGACAAAGACAACUGUUUUCAUCUGCGCCCUUACUCAGGUACUUAGUUUAAGGCGAAACUAAAAACAAACAGUUUAAUUAGUCGAGAACCAAAUGUAGCAGUUUACAGUAACGUUACAGUAGCCAUAUAUUUUAUGGAAUGAUGAACACCUAUAACACACCCCUGAGUUUAUUUAUAAUUGCGACAAAUAUUUUACUUUAUGAAUCAUAGCGAUGUCUGUCCUCAUUCUAAUUGAACAAGGAAUGUCAAAAUUCCUGUUAUGUAAAGCAGUGUGGCAAAACUUUCCAUCGAACACCUGAUAAUAUUGAUUGAGAAUAAUUUGGGUUAAUGUGCUAAUGGGAGAUUUUGCUAAACAAUCUUAAAUAAU
rnacentral:lncRNA from 1 species